rnacentral:rRNA from 1 species
GAUGAACGCUGGCGGCGUGCCUAAUACAUGCAAGUCGAGCGCGAGAUUGAGGAGCUUGCUCCUCAUGAUCGAGCGGCGGACGGGUGAGUAACACGUAGGCAACCUACCCUUGAGAUUGGGAUAACUACCGGAAACGGUAGCUAAUACCGGAUACGACUUUCCUGCAUAAGCAGUUAAGUUAAAAGGCGGAUUUAUCUGCCGCUCAUGGAUGGGCCUGCGGUGCAUUAGCUAGUUGGUGAGAUAGUGGCUCACCAAGGCGACGAUGCAUAGCCGACCUGAGAGGGUGAUCGGCCACACUGGGACUGAGACACGGCCCAGACUCCUACGGGAGGCAGCAGUAGGGAAUCUUCCGCAAUGGACGCAAGUCUGACGGAGCAACGCCGCGUGAGUGAUGAAGGGUUUCGGCUCGUAAAACUCUGUUGUUAAGGAAGAACACUUGAGGUAGUAACUGGCCUUGAGAUGACGGUACUUAACCAGAAAGCCACGGCUAACUACGUGCCAGCAGCCGCGGUAA